rnacentral:tRNA from 1 species
CAGAAUAUAGUUUAUUUAAAAUAUUAAUUUUGGGGAUUAAAGAAAUUUAAUAAUUUAUUCUGA